AGCAGCCGCGGUAAUUCCAGCUCCAAUAGCGUAUAUUAAAGUUGCUGCAGUUAAAAAGCUCGUAGUUGAAUUUCGGGACUAAUAUGUCGGUCGUGCCUCGGUACGUACUGGUAUUUUUGGUUUCUCCCUUCUGACGAACCAUGAUGUCAUUAGUUUGGUGUUAUGGGGAGUUAGGACUGUUACUUUGAAAAAAUUAGAGUGUUUAAAGCAGGCAUUAGCUUGAAUACAUUAGCAUGGAAUAAUGAAAUAGGACGUUUGAUCCUAUUUUGUUGGUUUCUAGGAUCGACGUAAUGAUUAAUAGGGAUAGUUGUGGGCAUUAGUAUUCAAUUGUCAGAGGUGAAAUCCUUGGAUUUAUUGAAGACUAACUACUGCGAAAGCAUUUGCCAAGGGUGUUUUCAUUAAUCAAGAACGAAAAUUAGGGGAUCGAAGACGAUCAGAUACCGUCGUAGUCUUAACCAUAAACUAUGCCGACUAGGGAUCGGAUGAUGUUAUUUUUUAAUGACUCAUUCGGCACCUUACG
rnacentral:rRNA from 1 species